rnacentral:lncRNA from 1 species
GUAUAGUACUAAUUAGUCUCAUCAAAUUGGACCUUAUUCGCCGCCUCAAUUUUUUAACUCUUUCCAUUUCCUCUUUGAUACGGCACCGUUAUCAAAUCAGCAAGGAGCUGGAAGAGAAAAGAAGACAGAGAAGAGGCAAAACUUGCCACACGAUCUCGGUAGGACCUCCAGCUUCAAUAACAAUGUAGGUAUGUCACAUUAUAGGAAAGGACUUUUAUUAACAAUAACAAUACAUUUCUCGAAGUGUCGAAUACAUAACAAUAGUAUCUUCUCCAUCCUAGGGAACUCCGUCCAAUCUUCAAAAUCUGGCCUCCCGAAGACGCAAGUUCGAGCAGAAGGUUUCCUAGAUGUUGAUCGAUCCUGCCAUCGCCAUCUCACACAGGUAAGACUUCCUUUUAUAACCAACACCAGUUCCGUGAAAUAGGACAGAAAAGGAGAACAGCAGAACCGCAUUCUGUCGGGUGAUCCGUAACCUCGCCAGGGUCCGCAACAGGUAAGUGUUGUCCGGGUAAAUUUAAAUUUUCAUUGUUUUUUGCGGUAUGAAGUUUGCAGAAAAGACAGGCGUGCAAGACCUGCCCCUCCGAGGGUGAAAAACAGCACCCCACUGCUCCCCUGUCACUUAGCUCCGCCGAAGCCAGGGGUGGAGCAGACUGACCGUCGAGCGGCCUUUAGCCCGGCGCCUAACGAGGACAGAGGGUUCGUCACACCCCCUACCCCCGCCCCACGGGUUUAGCCGUCUCCUCCUUCUGCCCGGCCUGUCACUCUUGUAGCUGACAGAGCAGAAGGUGUCAGAGACGUUGCCUGGUUGCUACCACUUGGAGGUUCCGUGAGGAAGCCGAGAUCCCCUGUCGCGACCGGCUUAACUGGAAUCACCAGUCCGGGACAAACGAUUUCAGGUCAUAAAAUAAAUAGGACCAUUUACUCGAAAGAGAAUAACAGAACUUUACAAAAAUCUUAUUUAAAAGAAAAUCAAAUGAAAACAAUAGACACGGGAGAAUCAAUAAAAAAACAAUAAAAGCGAGGAUAUUAAAAUAUGUGAAUAAAAAUUUAAAAUAUAAAUAAAACUAACCGCAAAAAGAAAAAGCAAAAAUAAACGCGAAUGAGAAAACAAAACUCAAACAAAGAGAAAAACGCGAAAAAGAGAACAAUAAAAAACCGUAUAAAACUUAAAUAUA